rnacentral:rRNA from 1 species
CAAUAGCGUCUAUUAAAGUUGUUGCAGUUAAAAAGCUCGUAGUUGGAUUUCUGGUCGGAAGCUCCUGUCCUCUGAUGAGCGUACAAGUGCGUCCUACCAUCCUUCUGUUAACCUUUAAGGCUUUCGCGGCUUUCUAGGGGCUCAGAUAUUUUACCUUGAGAAAAUUAGAGUGUUUCAGGCAGGCUAGCGCCGGAAUACAUUAGCAUGGAAUAAUGGAAUAGGACUUUUGCCUCUUCUGUUGGUCAUGAGGCUCGAGUAAUGAUUAAUAGGGAUAGUUGGGGGCAUUAGUACUUAACUGUCAGAGGUGAAAUUCUCGGAUUUGUUAAAGACUAACUUAUGCGAAAGCAUUUGCCAAGGAUGUUUUCAUUAA